AAACAACAGAAGUUUAUUCUCUCCUAGUUCUGGAGGCUGGAAGUCUGAAUUCAAGAUCUCUGGUCAUAAUGUGGAGAUAAGACUGCAGGGUGUGAGGCAGAAGUCCAAUUUCAAGGUUCCUGCUGUAGGUGAGAAGAGGAACCUGAGGCACAGAGAGAGGUUAAGUAACCGGCUCAGGAGUCUAGAGCACCAAGUGGCAGAACCUGGAGGAAAACCCAGGUGUAACUGAUUCCAAAGUCAAGGGGUCUCACCAACUUGCCAUCCUGCCUCUCAGGCCAGUUGGAAUAC